rnacentral:rRNA from 1 species
AGCGAACGCUGGCGGCAGGCCUAACACAUGCAAGUCGAACGAAGUCUUCGGACUUAGUGGCGGACGGGUGAGUAACACGUGGGAACGUGCCUUUAGGUUCGGAAUAACUCAGGGACACUUGUGCUAAUACCGAAUGUGCCCUUCGGGGGAAAGAUUUAUCGCCUUUAGAGCGGCCCGCGUCUGAUUAGCUAGUUGGUGAGGUAAAGGCUAACCAAGGCGACGAUCAGUAGCUGGUCUGAGAGGAUAAUCAGCCACAUUGGGACUGAGACACGGCCCAAACUCCUAUGGGAGGCAGCAGUGGGGAAUCUUGCGCAAUGGGCGAAAGCCUGACGCAGCCAUGCCGCGUGAAUGAUGAAGGUCUUAGGAUUGUAAAAUUCUUUCACCGGGGACGAUAAUGACGGUACCCGGAGAAGAAGCCCCGGCUAACUUCGUGCCAGCCGCCGCAGUAACAC